GGACAGACAUACUUUGCACAUGGGUCAGCAACUGUUAUAAGUAGUAAGUUGGGAAUAUAGCAUACAGACAGGAAUUUAAUGUAUAAGCAACGAUAAACCAUUGCUAACGAAAAACGAUUCUGAGUGUAGUUCUUUGUUAACAAUAUUUAUGUCAUCUUAUGGUAAAAUGAUUACAAUGAUGUGUGUUUCAAUGACAACAAUGAUUGUUUAAAAUAAUAACAAACAAAUAAAUAAAAACUGUUGCCAGUGACAACCUUAUUUUUAAUCUUUCUUAACC